AUAGCGGCUUCAUCCGACGCCUGGCAGGAACAAGUUGGGGAGCCAGCCCAUCAACUCUUCCCACCUCUGCCUUAGCCCUUAUGUAUGCCCCAGCUGAGUACUGUGCACCCGUAUGGAGUAGAAGCAGACAUACUAGCCUGCUAGACACGAGCCCGAACAGCACCUUGAGAACCAUCACUGGUUGCCUUCAACCUACUCCAGUCGAGCAGCUCCCUAUACUUGCAGGCAUUCCGCCUACCGAGAUCCGAAGGCAAGCAGCAACUCUGGCACUAUCUCGUCGUGCCAAGGACCCAGAUCACCUCCUCCAUCAGGCUAUCAGCAGAGAGCAGAGGCCAUCCCGACUGAAGUACCGUCACCCCUUUGCCCCAAAUGGAAAACAACUCCUAGCAUCCACCCAGCCAACUGAGACAAAAGUACACUGGAUAGUCACCAAGUGGUCACAGGAGUGGAAGGCAACCUC